UGUGGUUUUAUUGGAAGCAACGUGGAGAACCUUACCAACACUUGACAUCCUUCUGACGGUUUGGUAAUAGAAACUUUCCUUCGGGACAGAAGUGACAGGUGGGGCAUGGUUGUCGUCAGCUCGUGGUCGUGAGAUGUUGGGGUUAAGUCCCGCAACGAGCGCAACCCCUAUCUUUAGUUGCCAGCACUUAGGGUGGGCACUCUAGAGAGACUGCCGAGGAUAACUCGGAGGAAGGUGGGGAUGACGUCAAAUCAUCAUGCCCCUUAUGUUUUGGGCUACACACGUGCUACAAUGGCUGGUACAGAGGGCAGCGAUAGAGUGAUCUGGAGCAAAUCCUAAAAGCCAGUCCCAGUUCGGAUUGUAGGCUGAAACUCGCCUACAUGAAGCUGGAGUUGUCUAGUAAUCGUGAAUCAGAAUGUCACGGUGAAUGCGUUCCCGGGUCUUGUACACACCGCCCGUCACACCAUGGAAGUUGGGGGCACCCGAAGUCAGUCGAUAAAGGCUGCCGAAGGUGAAAUCAAUGACUAGGGUGAAGUCGUAACAAGGUAAC
rnacentral:rRNA from 1 species